GAAAUCAGGUUUCGAGGUGAUAGUGCUUGAUACGAUUAUGGGUCAGAAGUCUAUAUGGAGGUCCCAGUCGAUAGUUGUGAUGUGGUCAUGGGUUCAAGUAUAACUGCGAGCCUGGUGAUGGUUGUUACGCGGUUAGAAGUUUAAGCUUUUUGGAUACUCACAAAUGGUGCCUUAUAUAUACUGUAAUAGGCCAUUUUUGCCCAGGCCCAACAAAAAAAAACCAAAAAAAUAAAUAAAUUAACAGUCUCAAUCCACUUACAAUAGGCCCAAACAGCCCAAACCCAAAAUAAAAAACCCUAGGCGGCCCGAUAAGCCCAAAAACUUAAACAAUCUCAGAAAACCCUAGCCUCCCUAACCCUCUUCAGCCGCCAACCUCCUCACGCGCGCCACCACCACCGCACACCAUCAC
rnacentral:lncRNA from 1 species